CGUUCGUCCGUUCGUCCGUUCGUCCGUUCGUCCGUCUAUCCCGCUUCAGGUUAAAGUUUUUGGUCGAGGUAGUUUUUGAUGAAGUUGAAGUCCAAUCGACUUCAAACUUGGUACACAUGUUCCCUAUGAUAUGAUCUUUCUAAUUUUAAUGCCAAAUUAGAGAUUUUACCCCAAUUUCACUGUCCACUGAACAUAGAAAAUGAUAGUGCGAGUGGGGCAUUCGUGUACUGAGGACACAUUCUUGUUAAUUAUGGAAUUUGUAUAAUUUCUUCUGCUUAAAAUUUUUAAUAAAUUCCAUGUUUAUUCUGUACUUGAAUGUUCUGUGCUGCGAUUCCAUGUUUAUUCUGUACUUGAAUGUUCUGUGCUGCGCACAACACUUCUUUUUACAAAGAAGAUGGUACAUUUUCAAUAGAAUGUACUGUGCCGCGCACAACACUAUCUAUACAAAAUACAUUGUAUUGAAAGUGUAAGGAUUACCGCUCAAACAUUAUGAUA
rnacentral:lncRNA from 1 species